GUAGGGAAUCUUCCGCAAUGGGCGAAAGCCUGACGGAGCAACGCCGCGUGAGUGAUGAAGGUCUUCGGAUCGUAAAACUCUGUUAUUAGGGAAGAACAUACGUGUAAGUAACUAUGCACGUCUUGACGGUACCUAAUCAGAAAGCCACGGCUAACUACGUGCCAGCAGCCGCGGUAAUACGUAGGUGGCAAGCGUUAUCCGGAAUUAUUGGGCGUAAAGCGCGCGUAGGCGGUUUUUUAAGUCUGAUGUGAAAGCCCACGGCUCAACCGUGGAGGGUCAUUGGAAACUGGAAAACUUGAGUGCAGAAGAGGAAAGUGGAAUUCCAUGUGUAGCGGUGAAAUGCGCAGAGAUAUGGAGGAACACCAGUGGCGAAGGCGACUUUCUGGUCUGUAACUGACGCUGAUGUGCGAAAGCGUGGGGAUCAAACAGG
rnacentral:rRNA from 1 species